UACAGAGGGUGCGAGCGUUGUCCGGAAUCACUGGGCGUAAAGGGCGCGUAGGCGGCUCGGUAAGUAGGGGGUGAAAUCCUGCGGCUUAACCGCAGGGCUGCCUUCUAAACUGUCGAGCUUGAGCACGGUAGAGGCAGAUGGAAUUCCCGGUGUAGCGGUGAAAUGCGUAGAUAUCGUAAGGAAGACCAGUGGCGAAGGCGGGUCUCUGGACAGUUCCUGACGCUGAGGCACGAAGGUCAGGGGAGCAAACGGG
rnacentral:rRNA from 1 species